UCGGGAUAGCUCAGCUGGUAGAGCAGAGGACUGAAAAUCCUCGU
rnacentral:tRNA from 126 species